rnacentral:rRNA from 1 species
UGGGGAAUAUUGCACAAUGGGCGCAAGCCUGAUGCAGCCAUGCCGCGUGUGUGAAGAAGGCCUUCGGGUUGUAAAGCACUUUCAGCGAGGAGGAAGGUGGUGAGCUUAAUACGCUCAUCAAUUGACGUUACUCGCAGAAGAAGCACCGGCUAACUCCGUGCCAGCAGCCGCGGUAAUACGGAGGGUGCAAGCGUUAAUCGGAAUUACUGGGCGUAAAGCGCACGCAGGCGGUUUGUUAAGUCAGAUGUGAAAUCCCCGGGCUCAACCUGGGAACUGCAUUUGAAACUGGCAAGCUAGAGUCUCGUAGAGGGGGGUAGAAUUCCAGGUGUAGCGGUGAAAUGCGUAGAGAUCUGGAGGAAUACCGGUGGCGAAGGCGGCCCCCUGGACGAAGACUGACGCUCAGGUGCGAAAGCGUGGGGCAGCAAACAGGAUUAGAUACCCUGGUAGUCCAGCGCUGUAAACGAUGUCGAUUUGGAGGUUGUGCCCCUUGAGGCGUGGCUUCCGGAGCUAACGCGUUAAAUCGACCGCCUGGGGGAGUACGGCCGCAAGGUUAAAACUUAAAUGAAUUGAC